rnacentral:ncRNA from 1 species
GCUAAUUAUGGGCAAAAUCAUCGAAAGAUGACGCGCAAAGCCAUGAGUCUAAAGCAAUCAUGCCAUGAUCGUCAGGUUGCCAUA